rnacentral:rRNA from 1 species
CCCCUAGAUGUUCUGGGCCGCACGCGCGCUACACUGAACAGUUCAACAAGUCUUAACCUUGGCCGAUAGGUCUGCGUAAUCUUUGAACGCUGUUCGUGAUUGGGAUAGACCUUUGCAAUUAUGGGUCUUCAACGAGGAAUUCCUAGUAAACGCAAGUCAUCAGCUUGCAUUGAUUACGUCCCUGCCCUUUGUACACACCGCCCGUCGCACCUACCGAUUGAAUGGUCCGGUGAAAUCUCGGGACGGCGGCUUGGUCGCUUGCGUCCGACUGCUGAAACUUGAUUAAACCAUAUCAUUUAGAGGAAGGUGAAGUCGUAACA